rnacentral:tRNA from 2 species
CGGGGCGUAGCGCAGUUUGGUUUAGCGCGCUUGCUUUGGGAGCAAGAGGUCGGAGGUUCAAAUCCUCUCGCCCCGACCA